rnacentral:rRNA from 1 species
GACGAACGCUGGCGGCGUGCUUAACACAUGCAAGUCGAGCGGAGCGGCGAACGGGUGAGUAAAGCGUGAGUAACUGCCCCCCUCUCUGGGAUAACAGAUGGAAACGGCUGCUAAUACCGGAUAGUGGGGGAUGACUCGCGUCCUAUCAGCCUGUUGGUGGGGUAGUGGCCUACCAAGGGGACGACGGGUAGCCGGCCUGAGAGGGGAACCGGCCACAGUGGGCUGAGAUACGGCCCGAACCCCUACGGGAGGCAGCAGUGGGGAAUAUUGCCCGAUGGUGGAAACCCUGAUGCAGCAACGCGCGUGCGGGAUGGCGGCCUUCGGGUUGUAAACCGCUUUCAGCCAUGACGCGGUAGUGGCAGAAGAAGCACCGGCUAACUACGUGCCAGCAGCCGCGGUAAUUC